GACGAACGCUGGCGGCGUGCUUAACACAUGCAAGUCGAACGGAAAGGCCCUGCUUUUGUGGGGUGCUCGAGUGGCGAACGGGUGAGUAACACGUGAGUAACCUGCCCUUGACUUUGGGAUAACUUCAGGAAACUGGGGCUAAUACCGGAUAGGAUCUCCUGCUGCAUGGUGGGGGUUGGAAAGUUUCGGCGGUUGGGGAUGGACUCGCGGGUUACGGGCUUGUUGGUGGGGUAGUGGCUUACCAAGGCUUUGACGGGUAGCCGGCCUGAGAGGGUGACCGGCGACAUGGGGCCUAAGGGAGGCCGCAGACUCGAACGGGAGGCAGUGGGGGGAAGUAUGACGGAGUGGGGCGACGCGAGUGACAGCAACCUCCGGUGCGGAAUGCCGGCUUAUGAGUGAAGAACCGAUUUGGCAGGUGACAAGGAGGGAGUGACGGUAAUGGGUAAGAAAGCCCCGGCUAACUACGUG
rnacentral:rRNA from 1 species